rnacentral:rRNA from 1 species
UGGGGAAUUUUGGACAAUGGGCGAAAGCCUGAUCCAGCAAUGCCGCGUGUGUGAAGAAGGCCUUCGGGUUGUAAAGCACUUUUGUCCGGAAAGAAAUCCUUGGCUCUAAUACAGUCGGGGGAUGACGGUACCGGAAGAAUAAGCACCGGCUAACUACGUGCCAGCAGCCGCGGUAAUACGUAGGGUGCAAGCGUUAAUCGGAAUUACUGGGCGUAAAAGCGUGCGCAGGCGGUUUGCUAAGACCGAUGUGAAAUCCCCGGGCUCAACCUGGGAACUGCAUUGGUGACUGGCAGGCUAGAGUAUGGCAGAGGGGGGUAGAAUUCCACGUGUAGCAGUGAAAUGCGUAGAGAUGUGGAGGAAUACCGAUGGCGAAGGCAGCCCCCUGGGCCAAAUACUGACGCUCAUGCACGAAAGCGUGGGGAGCAAACAGGAUUAGAUACCCUGGUAGUCCACGCCCUAAACGAUGUCACUAGUUGUGGGGAUUCAUUCCUUAGUAACGUAGCUAACGCGUGAAGUUGACCGCCUGGGGAG